rnacentral:lncRNA from 1 species
CUCCAGGUGACACAACUCUUGGUAAGGUUCUGUGCUUUCUCUCUGUAUCUCUUUAAGGAUCUGAAUUCAGAAGUGAGAUGAUUGUCUUGGGGGUAUGAAUUAACAUGUUUACUUGUUUGGAAAACAAAGUCAGGCUUUCUCCUUACAGAAAAUAAGAGUGAUCUGGCUGACUGGCAUGGCAGUGAGAGGUUCUUUGCCAAUUAGGUUAUGUGUCAGAUAUUUUGCAGGAAAUGAUUGAGCUACAUCUGCAGCUCCAAAGUUUUAAUAAAAAUAUACUGAGGGUACUUACACAAUAUAAUGUACCCUAGAUGUUAUUAGUAAUCAAUAGCAGUAAAUUAACAGUAAAUUACUCAAAAAUAAAAUCAAUCAUAAAAUAGUGAAAUAGAAAACUCCUUAGACUUAUGAUUAAACUUUUAGAUAACAAGGGAAUUCAUCAUAUUUCAACAUUCAUUUAGGGGAAACUUGAGAGAUGUCUUAUGAAAUGUGUCAAACAUGGAAAAGUGAAUCUUUAAAAAGGACACUGAUAGAUCACGGGUGACACGGAGUGAGAGACAUGCAGGACAGCUCUUAAGAACACCAGCAGAGUGAUGUGGAUAAUAAAUUGACUUUCCAUCCAUUUGUUUUCAUCUCUAGAUGCUCUUUAGUUCAACUUACAAUCACGGACUCUGGGCAGGCUACAGGAGGACCUUAUUACAUCGUUAAAAUAAACGUAUAAGUUUGAAGAUAGCAUAUAGCGAUGCUCAUAAUUGGUACAGUUCUCCUGUCCUGCCAUGCAGGUGGAAGGAUGGCCUUCAGCUGAAAGGACUGCCCUUCCCCACCCACUUUCCAAUUAGGUAUGCCUAUGUGACUUGCUUUGGCAAUGGAAUAUACUCAGUAAGAGCCCAUUACCAAUAGGUAAUUCACCACAUCCCCUUCCUCCUG